AUGGACUUCCGCAACACCUUGGUUUUCCUUUUGCUUCUUUUAAAAAGUAUCCAGUGUGAGGUGCAGCUGGUGGAGUCUGGGGGAGGCUUAGUGCAGCCUGGAAGGUCCCUGAAACUCUCCUGUGUAGCCUCUGGAUUCACUUUCAGUAGCUAUGGCAUGCACUGGGUCCGCCAGGCUCCAGGGAAGGGGCUGGAGUGGGUUGCAUACAUUAGUAGUGGUAGCAGUUACAUCUACUAUGCAGAAACGGUGAAGGGCCGAUUCACCAUCUCCAGAGACAAUGCCAAGGACACCCUGUACCUGCAACUGACCAGUCUGAGGUCUGAAGACACUGCCUUGUAUUACUGUGCAAGAUACACUGUGAGCAAAUGUUACUGUGAGAUCAAACAGAAACCUCACUUAGGGCACCUUGGACCACCAGGGGGCGCUGAGAGAACAGAGAGCUGUGAGUCACAGAGCGUUACAGCCUGUUCAAUUGUCCCCAUCAUCCAAACCACCUUCAAAUUAUUCGACCCUCAACGUUCCUGUAAAAAACAAAAACUUCAGGGACAAAAAUGGAGCAGAACCUGA